UCUCCGUUGGUGAACCAGCGGAGGGAUCAUUACAGGACUCGCAAGACUCCUUCACCCUGUGAACCUCACUACAAGCACGUUGCUUCGGCGGGUGUCCCGGCGGGGGUUUUCCCUCGCCGGGGCGCACAGCCCGCCGGCAGCCUACUAUACUCUGUCUCUUUGCGUUGGCAUCUCGAGAACAAACAAACAAGUUAAAACUUUCAACAACGGAUCUCUGGGUUCUG
rnacentral:misc_RNA from 1 species